UUUUAUUUCUCGCUCCCACUGACAUAUAGGUCCCAGGCUGACGGUGGCCCGUGCUGAUGUGUCAUACAAGAGAGUACGCGAUACGUACGCAAUGUGUAGAGUCAGGACUGUUGUUUCAACCUCAGGGACCGUAUUGAUCACGUAUUUUCAUGUACCAGGACCGUAUUAAAGCAAUACGCAAGUUUCAGGACCAAGUUGAACGUGGCCAGCGACUAUGAGGACUAUAGAUGCAAUUAUCUCUAUCCACUACAAGUGGCGUCUUCCAGGCCUACAACAAUCAAAAACAAAAGGUGCCAUCAGAGUCUGUUGCAGCUCGUACUUAAACUCAAAUUCUAUGAAAACCUUGUACUGUGCAAACACAGGCAAAACAGCUACUGAUCGACAUCUUCUAUGUCAUUACUACUACCUUCCUGAUAUUUAAUUACUACUACCUCUAUGAAGAAAUUUUAAAUCACUAUAACCACAAAUUCCUAUAUACUACUCUCUUCAUCUCAAAAUAAGUGUCUAGUAGUUCAUCCCAAAAUAAGCGUCUCGUAGUUGAUAAGCUCUAUUAAAUAUAACUUUACCUAUGUUCCUCCCUGAUGCAUCACACGACAAAAAAGUGGUUGAAACCAUCAAAAGUGCCAUCAAGCACAGAACACUUGUGUUCAUCCGGAUUAGAG
rnacentral:lncRNA from 1 species